CAGCGAUACGCUCUCAUUCACUCCACAGUCAGGACUCCCGUUGGAGUAACUGGAGGCAAACGGCUGCUCCUCUCGUCGUUAAAAGAAGAAGAAGAAGAAAACUACGCAAGAAAAACAAUGUGAAUUCUCUCGGAUACGCGGCAGGAAACAACGACUUUUUGUGGUGGAUUUAAAUCAGACACGAGCCGUAUCGAUUUUUAUUUUUGUGGGCCAAAUACGUGUUUUGGAAUCACACACACACACACACGCGCGCGUGCACACACAGGUUGCUAGCGGAGUUGACGCUAACCUAGCUAGCCAAGUUAGCUAGCUGCGGUUAGCUGUGUUUUUCCUUUUUGUUUUUCCUUUUUUUUUUAGCCGGGGCUAAAACGUAAAAUACAAACAAAAGGGCGGACGUUUUUCCAGACAGGGUGCUGUAUGGUUCGGGCAUGAUGUGGUGUUUUUUCGGACGUUGUUUGUCAAGUUGUCCGGCUGUGGUAGCUGGCUGAAAGCCUGACGUUAAGUUAAGGUUUCUCUCGACCUGGAUUUAACUCCUGGAGGUUUUUCCAUGUUGUUUUUUUUAAAGGUGGACUUUACCCUCAGGGUGUUAUAACCCCCCCUCCUCCCUUAAUUCAAUAAAAGAAAGGCUCUAUUGAUUCUUACUUUUUGGAGUAUUUAAAAACUUUGGCUGGAAGUUUUUUUUUUUUUUUUUUUUUUUUUUUGGAGGUAAAAAAAAGUUUUGGGGAAGUUUUUUCCGAGCUCGUGGAAAAAUGGAUGCGGGUAUAGAGAAGGAAUGCAGCGCCUUGGGAGGGCUCUUCCAACUCAUCAUGAACGACAUGAAGGCCAGUUAUCCAACGUGGGAGGACUUUGUAACCAAAGGAGCCAAGCUACAGUCACAGCUCAGGUAAAACACACACACGUGCUCACACAUACACACGUGCACAUACACACACACACACACACACACACACACUGAUGCCGCUAAAUAACGGAGCUCACGGCUAACGUUAAAGGAGGUUGCGUUACGAUGCGUUCGAGCUCUGUUCAGUAAAAACGGAGCAUUGAGUGAAGGUACAGCAUAACUCCAUCAUGAUGCGUUCAAAUGUAAAGUUUAGUUUUUGAUGAGAAACUUAAAUGAAUCCAGUUGUUUGAAGAUGUUUUCACAGCAAUAUAGAAUAGAUAUUAAAUAUGUUUAACUCCCUAACAGUCUACCCAAACAGAAUUCACACACACACACACACACACAGCUCGAAUGUUUAAGUCUACUUAAAAGAACUGCUGUGGAUAAUUGCACACAUAAAAUGUAUAGACUUUAACUCUUCCAUCAUUGAACCCCACCAUAUAAGACAAAUGAAGUUAUAAUUUGUGCUUAUAACUGGGAU